UACAGAGGUCUCAAGCGUUGUUCGGAUUCAUUGGGCGUAAAGGGCUCGUAGGUGGCCAACUAAGUCAGACGUGAAAUCCCUCGGCUUAACCGGGGAACUGCGUCUGAUACUGGAUGGCUUGAGUUCGGGAGAGGGAUGCGGAAUUCCAGGUGUAGCGGUGAAAUGCGUAGAUAUCUGGAGGAACACCGGUGGCGAAGGCGGCAUCCUGGACCGACACUGACACUGAGGAGCGAAAGCCAGGGGAGCAAACGGG
rnacentral:rRNA from 1 species